UAGAAACUGUUCGAGGAGUUCAGUGUCACGUGGAAGUUACGACGUUAGAUCUGUAAGAAAACACUCGAGGCGGGAAAGCCGAGCGUGGACGCCUUCGCUCACAAGCGCGGCUCCACAUCUGCUGGCAGCUCUCAGCUCCGCCUCCAGGAGGCCGGAGCUGGGGGAGGGCCCUGAUCAUCAGCAGCCCUGCCUGCUGCCUCCCUGGGAGCCGGAGCCGAACGGUGAGGUCCUUGAGGCACAGGUGGUGUAGUUGCCUGCAGUGUCUGAUGCUAAAAUCCUAAAAAUCAUCAUCUUUCAGGCCAUAUGCAGGAUGGUGAACUUGAGACCAAACGUGUUGUGGGUCAUCUAGUUACCCCCGAUCAAGCUGGAAAUAGGGGGAAAUUCAUGCGACACUCCGGAGUCGUAAGCAGGCGCGAAGGAAAACGGAAGCCAUGGAAGGAGGAAGAUGUUUGGCGGAAUAAGUUCUUAUUUGAAACAGAUGAUCCCCUUCCACAUCAGAGGGCCUGGGUGUUCCUGGUCCGAUUCGGGUCAUGUUCUCAGCUGUGUUCGUGCCCAGAAUCCGCACUUGGGGCCUCGGCUGCCACUUGUACUAAAACUUCCAAGAUGCUGCUGUGAAAUCGGGGCUGAGAAAUACCAGGAGAGAUCGAGACGCAGGUCUGCAGACAGAAACACACCUGGGAGAGCUGUCCUUCCCAUUGGUGGCCAGGACUGCUACACAGCUGUCAUCCUGGGAGUUCUCGCUACCAUCCCCCAGAGCCAAAUGUCCUGUAUCCUAUUUCCUGGAUUCUUUUUGGAGAGAGGCAGACUUGAGGUUUGUUCCCCCAUCUCCUUCCUUGUCUACCUCACAAAUAAACCUCCUCUCUGCUGCAAACCUCGGCAUCUCAGCGUUUGUCCUGCUUCACGUCAGGCAAGCAAACCUGGAGCAGGAACAAACCUACUAGAUUGAGCUCCUAUUUUUUUUUCAAGCUUUAAUUCCUAUUUCCUAUCUCUUUGUCUUUUCCUUAUACUUUCUGGGGCAUUGGCUCAAUUAUUGAAUUUUUUUAUUUAUAAUAACGCAUUUGCAAUUUCCAAAAAUUCUUUAUUUCUGAAUGUGAUGUUUGUAAUAUUUAGUUCUUUUUUUCCAAUUUCUUAUCUCUCUGUGGAUAUUAGUUCUAGCAUUAUCUUUUAAAAAUUUUUUAAAAAAUUCUCUGUUCAUCCCAGUUCUCUUUUCCUGUUUGUUUUAUUCUGACCUUUGGGUUAGAGGCUCUAAUCAAAUGUUCUGUGGCUUUUAACUAGUCAUAAUUAAGUGUAAAGCACCACAAAGCUUGUUGGAAGCUGCAUGUAUUGGGCAGUUUGUAAACUGGUGGUCCUCCCUUUAGGGUGUCCAUGUGGCAACAUGGUCAUUUUAUUGAAGGGCCGGGAAAAUCUUGAGGUGGUGGUGGGGAGCUUGUGUGUGCAGCCCAGCCCGCUGUGUUUAACUGAAAACUGUAGCCAGCUUUUAACACGAAUGGUGAGAAGCUAGUCAACAAAACGAAAAAUAACUGAUUACAUUGAUGGCUGGAGUCAUCUCUCCAGGACAGUUCUUCUAUAAAAACGUCAACUUUUUAUCUGAACGCAAGUACCCAUGCAAGCUGUUUCACUGACAGGCACGUUCCCAAGGUGUUAUCAGAACAUAUGUUCACUGUGCACGUUUGUCUUUUCCACGUGAUCUGAAGGAAAAAGAGCAACAACGGAUGGAAAGGCCAGCUGUCUGCGCGCUGGGAUGUGGAAUUGUGCCAUGAGAGCGUGGGUCCGUACUGUUUACAGAAGAGCAC